rnacentral:rRNA from 1 species
UCAGGAUGAACGCUAGCUACAGGCUAACACAUGCAAGUCGAGGGGCAGCAUGGUCAAAGCUUGCUUGACUGAUGGCGACCGGCGCACGGGUGAGUAACGCGUAUCCAACCUUCCCCUUAGUAGGGCAUAGCCCGUAGAAAUGCGGAUUAAUACCCUAUGUUAUUCGUCGAGGACAUCUGAAGUGAAUCAAAGGUUUACCGCUAAGGGAUGGGGAUGCGUCUGAUUAGGCAGCAGGCGGGGUAACGGCCCACCUGGCCGACGAUCAGUAGGGGUUCUGAGAGGAAGGUCCCCCCACAUUGGAACUGAGACACGGUCCAAACUCCUACGGGAGGCAGCAGUGAGGAAUAUUGGUCAAUGGUCGAGAGACUGAACCAGCCAAGUAGCGUGCAGGAUGACGGCCCUAUGGGUUGUAAGCUGCUUUUAUGCGGGGAUAAAGUGACGUACGUGUACGUUUUUGUAGGUACCGCAUGAAUAAGGACCGGCUAAUUCCGUGCCAGCAGCGGC